AUAUUCAUGGUAGAAGCUGAGGUUUUUUGUUUUCCAGAGGGAUUCGCAGCUGAGAGCCAGCAAAAUGUGCAUCAGAAUGUUUAUUUGCCCUGGACAGAAGCCAGCUCUAGCCAAUUUAAGCAGAAACAGAGCAGCUGAAAAGCUACUCACAGAACCUCUGGGAAGUUCUGUGUUUAGUGUCAUCACCCUGGUAGCUUGAAAUCAGCCGUCGGGAGAGUAUAGACACAGAAACGAGCACACACUGCACCCUAGGCCUGCCCUUCCUUCACAGCAGGCUGUUAAACUUUUACCAGGACACCACUACUCAUAAGAAGAUGGAUGACUCCAUUUCCUAUCCUCAGGCUGUGUGAGUCCCAGGAGGACGACCUGGCAGAUGCGGAGGAGAGGGUGGAAGUCCUCCAGAGAGCUGACCUGGCCUUGAAUGCAAGAUCUGAAUAUGAAGAGUAAAUGAGGAGGUGAUGGACAGGGGAAUAAAA